rnacentral:misc_RNA from 1 species
GCCAAACUCUAGAUUGUAAUUCCGGUUUCCGCUACGACGGUAUUGCCAACUACCGCCAACUCCGCGAAAAGAUCUGUUGCCAAACAGAAACAUAACCUCCGGAAAAAAUGUUAAAUUAAUGUUGGUUUUGUAAUAAAACGAAUAAAAAUUCAUCAUUUCACAGUUUUUUCAUUGAAUAAAGAAUAUCGAUUUCAAAUUGCCGAUCGUUUUGCUACAAUAUAUUCAUCUUCGUCUUCUUGUUUCUUCGUCGCUUCUUCAAUUGUUGAACUUACAAUUUAAUUAUUGUACCGUUUUAAAUCGGUACUUAUUUUAAUUAUUAAUAAAAUUUUUAAAUCAUAAGAUAACAUAUACAAUUAAGAUUUACGAAGGAGUAUCUAUUAUUCCAUCGUUAUUAUUUUAUUAUUUCUUUGUUCAUCAUUUUUCUUAUUAUUUUUAAUUUCGUGUUAUUCUGUUGAUAACAAAUUUUCGAACAACCACGAAAUUAUUUUUCUCUCUUUUUAAUAUUUUUAUGAAUUCUUUUCUGGCAUUUUUCAACUAAUUUCGCCAUACUUUAUUUUUCCCCAAACUCCCUAUUUUCGAAACAUAUUAAUAAAUAGGUCGAGUCAAGGCAUCUAUAAACUUGCGCACUAGUAAUCAUUUUGCAAUUAACAAUAGGACUUAAUUUUCUUUUCCCUUCAUUAGUGAAGCUUACUACACACUCAUUACUCUUUACAUAAUGCAAGUUUUCAACUGUUAACUUGUGUCACAAUCGUGACUUCAGAAUGCUUGGACCAUAAGCAAC